AGGGGCAGCACGAUCUUCGGAUUGGUGGCGACCGGCGCACGGGUGCGUAACGCGUAUGCAACUUACCCAUUACUGGGGGAUAGCCCGGGGAAACUCGGAUUAAUACCCCAUAGUACCAUUUGAUGGCAUCUGAGGAUGGUUAAAGAUUUAUUGGUAAUGGAUGGGCAUGCGUCNGANUUNGUUAGUUGGUGAGGUAACGGCUCACCAAGACGAUGAUCAGUAGGGGGUCUGAGAGGAUGAUCCCCCACACUGGUACUGAGAUACGGACCAGACUCCUACGGGAGGCAGCAGUAGGGAAUAUUGGUCAAUGGGCGAGAGCCUGAACCAGCCAUGCCGCGUGCAGGAUGACGGCCUUCUGGGUUGUAAACUGCUUUUCUACAGGAAGAAAAAGCCCUUGCGAGGGAAAUUGCCGGUACUGUAGGAAUAAGCACCGGCUAACUCCGUGCCAGCAGCCGCGGUAAUACGGAGGGUGCAAGCGUUGUCCGGAUUUAUUGGGUUUAAAGGGUGCGUAGGCGGGUCUUUAAGUCCGUGGUGAAAGCCCAUCGCUCAACGAUGGAACUGCCAUGGAUACUGGAGGCCUUGAAUUCAGUUGAGGUAGGCGGAAUUGAUGGUGUAGCGGUGAAAUGUAUAGAUACCAUCAGGAACACCGAUUGCGAAGGCAGCUUACUGGGCUUGAAUUGACGCUGAGGCACGAAAGCGUGGGGAGCGAACAGGAUUAGAUACCCCUGGUAGUCCACGCCGUAAACGAUGAUAAC
rnacentral:rRNA from 1 species